rnacentral:rRNA from 1 species
CCUACGGGUGGCAGCAGUCGGGAAUAUUGCUCAAUGGGGGAAACCCUGAAGCAGCAACGCCGCGUGGGGGAUGAAGGUUCUAGGAUUGUUAAACCCUUUUGUUAGAGAAGCAAAUGACGGUAUCUGACGAAUAAGCAGAGGCUAACUCCGAGCCAGCACCCGCGGCAAUACGGAGGGUGCAAGCGUUACUCGGAAUCACUGGGCGUAAAGAGCGAGUAGGCGGGAUAGGAAGUGAGAUGUGAAAUGCUAUGGCUUAACCAUAGAACUGCAUUUGAAACUGUUAGUCUAGAGUAUGGGAGAGGUAGGUGGAAUUCUUGGUGUAGCGGUGAAAUCCGUAGAGAUCAAGAGGAAUACUCAUUGCGAAGGCGAGCUGCUGGAACCUAACUGACGCUGAUGCGCGAAGGCGUGGGGAGCGAACAGGAUUAGAUACCCUUGUAGUC